ACCAAUCCCGUGCUUUCACGGCCUUAACAAUAUCACUUGCUCCUGGCAGAUGAUGAUCCCACGGCUCAGAGAUGGGCGAAAUCUGCCCAAAAGCUCUCAGCUCUUCUGAGCAGCGCUCUUGCACACUCAGUGACGACCGUGGCAUAAAGUAGUUCAAACGGCUUGGAGGGACUGAUGUUGCAAACAUAAACGAGGUUCUCCAUUGGAAAUCUCUCACAUGCGCUGUUCUUGUGGCUGGCAGGUUGGCGCUGGCACGUAUUCCUGUGCUCAUAUUUUAGCUUCCUGCGGGACUCAGAACGAAGUCCCUAUAACACGGCAGUGCCUUGAGAAAUAGUCACAGGACAAGCAAGCCCCGGAAGCUGAUUUUGUUCUUGGACUGUGAGGAGCAGCGGCCAAGCUUGGCAAGUGAUGGACGAGGAAGAUGAUGGCAUAGAGAACAGGAAAAUCAGCUGUGAAGACUGUGCUGAGCAGCGGGAAAGACAGAGAGGAGAAGGAAGGUGCUAGAACAGGGACCAGCUUCCUAUAAAAUAGUGGUCACCCUUCAAGAAGCCAGAUUCCACAGUCUAAAGAGAAAAGCUCAUGCCUCCCCUCUGGGACAGGGUGACAAACAUCCCAUUCUGUGACAUCAUCCUGUGCCGUGUCAUCAUCCUUGCUGUGACAUUGUUCUGUGCUGUGACAUCAUCCUGUUCUGUGACACCCCAUGAUGUGACAUCAUCCCUUACUAUGAUCCAACAGUUCUCAACUUAUGACAUCUGACUUCCAUCCUCUUUGUCAUUUACUGUAUGUUGUACUAAAUCAGAUGACGGGAACUUCCCACUAGCUGAACUUAUAAAAUCUUGACACUCCCUUUGUUUGGGGGCUUUGUUCAGGGGGAUUUGCUGUGGAUAUCCACUCUGAAGAGGUCCCUCUGGCCUCCCCUGAUCUCAGUUUUUUUUUCCUUUCCUUUCCCCUAUGCCUCUAUGACUCUCCCUUUAAUGAAGCUUUUCUCGGGUUGUAAAGGGAUGUCUCUCCUCCAUUUUAAGGCUCCAUCAUGUUUAGGUCUCAGCACACUGUACUGUCUCUAAUGUUCAUGGCCUUGAUACCCUUCUCUCAAUAUAAUGCAUCUUCUGGAGGGAAUUGUGGUCAGCUUCCUUUCUGGACCAACUGCUACUGUUUUUAAUAGUUACUUCUUUAAUUAUAUCCAACACGAGAGAAGGAUAGAGAGGAGGAAGGAGAAAUGGAAGGAAAGAAGG